rnacentral:lncRNA from 1 species
AGACCUCUAGAUCCUAGCAGUGACCUCAAGGUCUACAAAGAAAAUGAUGGGUCACGGAAGAACUCCACCCAGAACAUGCUUUAACUGUGGCAAGGACAGCCUCUAUGAAUACUGCCUUUCACCUUGCCACUGCACAAACCUGUACAAACUGUGGACAAGUGCGAUACUGGGGAGCUGACUGCCCCACUUUGCCUACACAACACAGACUGGUCCUCCAAGUUCCUCCUCCACAGGAAAGUCUGUUGGAUCUUUUGGGCCUGAUGGCCAAAGACUGUCUGUCCAUAGAUCUUGACUGUCAGGUUACCAGGAAGUAUCUAUCAUUUUUAAUACACUCAGGUGUAUACUUACUGAAUCAAUGUUGGGUCCUGAGCUCCUCCUAUGACUCAAACACAUGCGUCCUCUGACUUUUCUGCAAUGUGGAUCUCAACAGAAAUUACACACAGUGGUAAUGCUAACACAUGUAAAAUUUUAUCUCUUUUGAUAAACUAAAAAAAAAUUCUUGUAA